rnacentral:rRNA from 1 species
GUGGGGAAUCUUAGACAAUGGGCGCAAGCCUGAUCUAGCCAUGCCGCGUGAGCGAUGAAGGCCUUAGGGUUGUAAAGCUCUUUCAGUGGGGAAGAUAAUGACUGUACCCACAGAAGAAGCCCCGGCUAACUCCGUGCCAGCAGCCGCGGUAAUACGGAGGGGGCUAGCGUUGUUCGGAAUUACUGGGCGUAAAGCGCACGUAGGCGGAUCAGAAAGUCAGAGGUGAAAUCCCAGGGCUCAACCUUGGAACUGCCUUUGAAACUCCUGAUCUUGAGGUCGAGAGAGGUGAGUGGAAUUCCGAGUGUAGAGGUGAAAUUCGUAGAUAUUCGGAGGAACACCAGUGGCGAAGGCGGCUCACUGGCUCGAUACUGACGCUGAGGUGCGAAAGCGUGGGGAGCAAACAGGAUUAGAAACCCGGGUAGUCC